CGACUACUCUGCUGGAAAAGGGGGUUCGCCUACCCCUCCACGCCUUCAUAGUUACCCUCCUAGGGUUUAUUGGAGUAGGCUUCGCGCAACUGGUGCCCAACUCCUAUAUCCAUAUACUGGCGUUCAUCGCCUUCUGUCAUGAACUAGGGGUUACCCCCUCUGUUGAUCUCUUCUUUACCCUCUUCUCGGCUGGCAGAUCCCGAGAACGAGGGUUCAAAAUGCUGAGCAAACAGUCCCCACGCCCAAACUCGAAAUUCGAGAAGAGGCCCCUGAUGAGCACCCCCUCGAGCAACAAAGGAUGGCACGAGAAAUGGUUCUUCGUCACUGGUCCUGGAAUCUCUUCCCUUCCCGAUUGGACCACUUCGGAGCGUAUCUCUGCUGACUUCGGUGACAUCCCCGAGGGGCGCGUGAGGGAGAUGGGCGACUUCAUGAAUAAAAUCCCUUCUCAAGAGUGGAGCUUCACUCUACUGACCAAGCAAGCAUGGUUGUAUGACCAUAAACGUAAGUCUUGGACCAUUCUGUGAUAUAAUUUUUUGAAAUGUUUAUGUGGUACGGAUUUUAACUUGUGAUUAUUUGCAGUGUCUUUGAUCAAACCAACUUCCUCGGAAGUAAAAGACUUGGAAGAUUUCUUGGCGGGGAGGAUUGCUGAUGCAAAUGAAGAACUCCCUAAUGAGGAGCCUUCCCGAAAUGAAACCCCUGCCCCCGAGCCAACACUAACUCCCCUUCGGGAUGAUGACCCUGAAGCCGACAAUCCUAUCAUCCCCGAAGCGGUCCUCCGACCUCGCCGAAGGAAGAAGGCCGCCAAAAGGGCCAAGACUCCUCGCGAG
rnacentral:lncRNA from 1 species